ensembl:lncRNA PMS2P4 PMS1 homolog 2, mismatch repair system component pseudogene 4
GGGAGUCGUGGAGGGAACUUUCCCAGGCCCCGAGGCGGAUCGGGUAUUGAGUCCAUGGAGCGAGCUGAGAGCUAGAGUACAGAACCUGCUAAGGCCAUCAAACCUAUCGAUCGGAAGUCAGUCCAUCAGAUUUGCUCUGGGCCGGUGGUACUGAGUCUAAGCACUGCGGUGAAGGAGUUAGUAGAAAACAGUCUGGAUGCUGGUGCCACCAAUAUUGAUCUAAAGCUUAAGGACUAUGGAGUGGAUCUCAUUGAAGUUUCAGACAAUGGAUGUGGGGUAGAAGAAGAAAACUUUGAAGGCUUAACGAUGUCACCAUUUCUACCUGCCACGCAUCGGCGAAGGUUGGGACUCGACUGGUGUUUGAUCACGAUGGGAAAAUCAUCCAGAAAACCCCCUACCCCCACCCCAGAGGGACCACAGUCAGCGUGAAGCAGUUAUUUUCUACACUACCUGUGCACCAUAAGGAAUUUCAAAGGAAUAUUAAGAAGACGUGCCUGUUUCCCCUUCGCCUUCUGCCGUGAUUGUCAGUUUCCUGAGGCCUCCCCAGCCAUGCUUCCUGUACAGCCUGCAGAACUCCUCCAGCCCACCCGAUUCCUCCCCACCUCCUCCACCUCCCCAGGCCCCACUCACCUCCUCCAACUCCUCCGGGGAAACCCAAGCCCUGCCGCUCAUGGAACAGAAGAACUGGAACCGAAGUUUCUGGAACAGGACUAUCUGAGAGCGGUUCUUCCUGGCCCUCGGGUUCAUGCAACGGCGUAACUGGAACCGACGCUUACGGACCAAGGGUAUGCGAGAGCGGUACUUCCUGGCCCUCGGGUUCAUGGAACGGCCUAACUGGAACCGACGCUUACGGAGCAAGGGUAUGCGAGAGCGGUUCUUCCUGGCCCUCGGGUUCAUGGAACGGCCUAACUGGAACCAACGCUUACGGAGCAAGGGUAUGCGAGAGCGGGUCUUCCCAUACAGGAAGUGGAAGAUGUUUUGUUUGGAGUCCUCGUCGUCCUCCUCCAUGUCAUUGGCCAGGUAGCUGAGGAUAGAAAUCAGGUUGCUGCUCAGGGGCACCACCAGGAGAGGCCUCCGGCUGAGGUCAGCUUCCCAGAGAGGAAGGUAAGGGACCGUCCCUAGCUCAGGACUGGCACCCACCCUGCAGAGAGCCACGCCUUCCUCAGGAGGGCUCUGCUGGACAGAGACCUGAUCAAGGGCGUCUCCCACUCCUUCAGGAUGGAGACAAAAACCCAACUGGUGGCCGAGAGUGGUGGCUUACGCCUGGAAUCCCAGCACAUUGGGAGGCCAAAGCAGGAGGAUCACUUGAGGCCAGGAGUUUGAGACGGGCCUGGGCAACAUAGCAAGACCCUCGUCUCUAUUAAAAAUAUAAGAAAUAUGCCAGACGCAGUGGCUCAUGCCUGUAAUCCCAGCACUUUAGAAGGCUGAAGCAGGUGGAUCGCUUGAGACCAGGAGUUGGAGACCAGCCUGGUCAACACGGAGAAACCCCAUCUCUACUAAAAAUACAAAAAUCAGCCUGGUGCCGUGGCACACCCGUUAGGCCUAGCUACUCAGGAGGCUGAAGCAUAAGAAUUGUGUGAACCCAGGAGGCAGAGGCUGCAGUGAGUUGAGAUUGGGCCACUCCAUUCCAGCCUGAGAGGCAGAGCAAGACUCUGUCUCAAUAAACAAACAAACAAACAAACAAACUGUCCAGGUGUGGUGGCACAGCCCUGUAGUCGGAGCUAAUAAAGAAGCUGAGGUGGGAGGAUCGCUUGAGCCCAGGAUAUGGAGGCUGUGGUGAGCUAUGAUCUCACCACUGCACUCUAGCUUGGGGGACAGGGCAAGUCUGUCUCAAAAAAAUAAAAGCAAUUGAAUACAUU